GGGGAGGGGAAACUUUUCACAAUUGUCAAAGUGGAAGGUAUUCAUAGAAAAGAUAUAAAUAAUUUCUUAAAGUUAAGUGUUGGUUAAGCUUAAAGAUAAAGUUGUUGCAUAGUGGUAGGGUUUUCUUUAAUAUUUUCACAAGGAGUCUAAGGGUUUUCAUAUUGAAAAAAGAAAGAAAAGAGAAAAAAACACACCUACCACCACAUGCAAAUAUAAAAAAUAAAAAGACAACCCCAACCAAUUGCACCACAACCGGAUGGAGGAACCCAGCUGACACACCAAGACGAGUCUCUGUGUCUAGGGAAUCUUGGGGUUCAGCUCCUUUUACUUCAAGAGAGCCUGAACUAAAUUAGUGCAAUUUUUAAAGCAUGGCCUGAAUGAUUCAGUGAUUAUCAAGUCAAGCUACAAAUGUAAACGGCUGCUACCACUGCCAACUAGGUCAAGGAGACUCUCCAAGGUGCCUAACUGGCGGCUGUCACCACCUGACUUGGUUUUGUUUGGCUACUUUGCUCUCCUGUGCAGUGUUACGAGCCUGCCUAAUGAG